UAAGUAGUAUCCAUUAAAGGGUUGUGGUCACAAUAAGAUCAACCUUUUGAUUUACUACUUUAG
rnacentral:pre_miRNA from 1 species